AUGAAAGGCAAGAUGGCGUUUGUUUAAAAUAAAUUUCAAACGCUGCUGAUAGAUUUGAGUAUUACACAACAUAUAUUAGGAAUAUUAGAUGAAUGUAGAGCGGAUUUGAUUGAUGUGCUCGCCAUUGCGUCGAAAACAUUUCGCCAAGUAUUUUGAACGAGCAAAAAUUCCUUGAAAUUUUUCCUCUUGGCGAACACGAAACAAGUUAAAAAAUUGCUACCGAAUCACUGGUGAAGCCAAUAUUUCUCUUCCGAUUCCAUGUAAUGAGGAGGCAAACGUAAGCGUUCCAGAGAACAACACUGUUUAAUUUCAACGGGCGGCAACAGUUCGGAAUAUGUUGUGAUAUUGUUGCUAUGUCGUGUGAAUGAGCCAGCAGCUGCUGCAAUCGAAAUCUCAUCGCCACUCUUGGACAGGGAUAUGGAUGCGCUCGAUGAAUCCUUACUAGAAGCUACCUUCAGGCCUGUGGAUGACAACGAAAUCGAACGCGAAGCAACAUCUGGCAAAAUUUACAAUUGUUAUAAACAUCUGGCAAAAUGUAGCCUUUAAGAUAGAGAAAAGAAUAAAGUGAAUAUCUCGGUAGUGGUAAGUGUAGACAGUAUUGCAGGAUGACAACCCCAAACUACAGAGAGCUUUAAAUACAAUCUCCGGAUCGAGCCUUUCACCAUCGAUGGCCGACAUGACCACGGAAUCAAACUGAUCGAGAAUGUGUGAUGGGUUUGCGAUAUGCCGGACAUCAAAUCGACCAUCCAGAAAAUAUCUCAACGACCCCGAUACCGGAGAUUUCUAUGUAAUGAAUCACAUUUGUGAUCGAUUCAACAAGGCAAUCAAUAGUGUUGCUGCAUUGGAAAAGGAAACGUCUCUUUUAAGUCGACGAUUUACAUACCUUUCUCGUGGUCUUGCGGCACAUAAUACAGCAAGUAAAUAAUCAGAUCGAUGUUGACCGGAAAAAAUUGAACCAGUAUGAAUCAUUUUCUCUGGAGGUGAAACUUUAUUCGAUCAUAUGUCAGAUGAUCGAUCAGUCUAAAAUCACUGGAGAUGAUUUGAGUGUUGAUUCUGGCGUUGGUAUAGUGGUAUUGCAAACGGCUGCAUUGACAGCGGUGAAGAUCUACACUGCUAGUGUAUCAUGCGGUCAGUACUCAUCAAUGUUAAACGUAUCGACGACGGCGACUCAGCAUCUGAAUUCCACAACCAUAACGACCUCUCCCUUUUAGUCGUAUUAAGGACACGGUACUAGCCAAAAUACGAAAAUCUCACCGAACUUCAUAUACUACUAGAAGAGUAUGCCAAUUUAUCAUCAUUCACAGGUGGAGAACAGUACGCGUCAACCGAUUCUGCACCAGUAAGAACGAGAGCGUGUGACACGUAGACUUCGAUAAAAUCAUACAGUUAUGCUCUUCAAUCAGUCUCAUAUAUGUCAUCAUCGGAAACAAUGUAGAUACGAUGCUCGAAAUCCUGUAGAUGAUUCUAUGCUGCAAAGUAUUCAUUCACGAAGUUCAUCAACAACCUCCCGUGAUGGGGAUUAUCCAUCCUCAGGUGGAAACAUACGAUACGUCAAUGUUCCUUCGAGUCAACUACAACUUUUUCAACAAUAGCAGAAUGAACAAAUGGGUGGUAACAUAUCACGCCCGGGUUCAUCUUCACAACCCAAUUAUACCUGCCCAGCAAAGGUAGCUUUGAGGCAUCAUCUAUUGCAGAAAAAGCUGACCCAUCCGAUAUAACCCUCGAUGAGUACGGUUAAAACCAUCGGUGAUCUUGUGAAUGGGAAAACCGAGCGGACAUUAGAAAAUUUCAACCAAUCGUUCAUCAAUACCGUGGCAAACAUGAGCACAACGGGACCGCAUGCCAUGCCGACAUCAACAUCAACACACAACGACCCGAACGCUUUAGUAUUCAGAUGCUAGAGGAAGCCGGUCGCUAUGGCAGUGCUUCAGUAAACAGCCCAAUAUCCCGCUCGAAUAGCAGCGUACUUGUUUCGCUCUCUCUUGUGCAUCUACAUAAUCAAAGCAAUUUACCAUUCAAGCGGAGGUGGCUACGUACAACGACAAAAAACCGUCGUCAAAAUUGAAGGGAGAACCACGUCUACUCAACAAUAUUCAUUUAGCUGAUCUCACUCACUUGUUUACCAAUAAAAUUGUGGUAAAAUACAUCCUAUCAGUCGGAACAGCUUUACAUGGCUCUGUCACGAGCGGACAUGAAACCAUACCUAUAAUCCGAUUCCAUCGACGACCACACCACACCACACCACAAGCGACAGCAGCAACAACCGAUCCACAGGUACUCAGAAUUAUAAAAAAUGGUGUUAUCGUGCAGGUGGACUAUACAUAUGUUAUAAUUCCUA